rnacentral:rRNA from 1 species
GAUGAACGCUGGCGGCGUGCCUAAUACAUGCAAGUCGAGCGAACAGACGAGGAGCUUGCUCCUCUGACGUUAGCGGCGGACGGGUGAGUAACACGUGGAUAACCUACCUAUAAGACUGGGAUAACUUCGGGAAACCGGAGCUAAUACCGGAUAAUAUAUUGAACCGCAUGGUUCAAUAGUGAAAGACGGUUUUGCUGUCACUUAUAGAUUGAUCCGCGCCGCAUUAGCUAGUUGGUAAAGUAACGGCUUACCAAGGCAACGAUGCGUAGCCGACCUGAGAGGGUGAUCGGCCACACUGGAACUGAGACACGGUCCAGACUCCUACGGGAGGCAGCAGUAGGGAAUCGUACGCAAUGGGCGAAAGCCUGACGGAGCAACGCCGCGUGAGUGAUGAAGGUCUUCGGAUCGUAAAACUCUGUUAUUAGGGAAGAACAAAUGUGUAAGUAACUAUGCACGUCUUGACGGUACCUAAUCAGAAAGCCACGGCUAACUACGUG